GACGAACGCUGGCGGCGUGCUUAACACAUGCAAGUCGAACGAUGAAGCCGGAGCUUGCUCUGGUGAAUUAGUGGCGAACGGGUGAGUAACACGUGAGUAACCUGCUCUUGACUCUGGGAUAACUGCGGGAAACUGUAGCUAAUACCGGAUACGACCCUCGGAGGCAUCUCCUGGGGGUGGAAAGAAUUUUGGUCAAGGAUGGACUCGCGGCCUAUCAGCUAGUUGGUGAGGUAAAGGCUCACCAAGGCGACGACGCGUAGCCGACCUGAGAGGGUGAUCGGCCACACUGGGACUGAGACACGGCCCAGACUCCUACGGGAGGCAGCAGUAGGGAAUCUUCCGCAAUGGACGAAAGUCUGACGGAGCAACGCCGCGUGAGUGAUGAAGGCUUUCGGGUCGUAAAACUCUGUUGUUAGGGAAGAACAAGUGCUAGUUGAAUAAGCUGGCACCUUGACGGUACCUAACCAGAAAGCCACGGCUAACUACGUGCCAGCCGCCGCAGUAA
rnacentral:rRNA from 1 species